UUUCCGUAGGUGAACCUGCGGAAGGAUCACUAAAGAGAACUUGCCCUUCGGGGUAGAUCUCCCACCCUUUGUUUAUUAUACUUUGUUGCUUUGGCGGGCCUGCCUCACGGCUGCCGGCGUAAGCUGGCUCGCGCCCGCCAGAGACCCCUAAACUCUGAAUAUUGUCGUCUGAGUAAUAUAUAAUAAGUUAAAACUUUCAACAACGGAUCUCUUGGUUCUG
rnacentral:misc_RNA from 1 species